AGUCUUCUUCCCCCGACGGCUACCAAUUCCCAACCCAAACCCUCUCGUUUCCAGUGGUGCGGCGAGGCAAACACGGCGGCGGAAGGAUGGCGAAGGGAGGCGGUGGCAGCGGGCUGAUCUGGGCGACGGCGGAGGAUCUGGCGCGGAACCGGCCGGUGGUGCUGUCGCUGUACAGGCAGAUCCUGCGGGCGCUGAACUCGCCGGAGCUGCCGCUGGGGUACGCGGCGCGGAUGGCGAAGAAGGCGGAGUGCCGCGCCAUCUUCCUCUUCGGCGCCGAGGAGAGGUCGCUCCACAACAUCAGGGACCUACUCGACGCCGCGCGCCACACACUCGGCCUCCUCAACCGCGGCCGCCUCCCGUAGAGCGGAACGAAGAGUCUCGCGAGUCGCUGUUCCCAAUCCCCAUGGGUACAUGGUUUUGGAGGGAUGAGCAAAUUUUUAGCAUUCAGGAACUAGCAUGCAUUUGCAUUGCCCAAAUGACAAACAUGUUACACUAACACCACUGUUGUUGGCAGUUGUUUAGAUCUUUCCUUCUGUGAAAUCGACUAUAAGUAUACAGGCUAUGAUGUUUACACAGCACAAAUUUACGGCCCAACAUGACUUGAAUUGAUCAACUAAUCUUGCAGCUGUACCUAUAGAUCCAAACUUAGAACACUGGGCAGACACUAUCGGGACCCAAGUCCACCCCUUUAGCUGUAGGGCACGAGGCUAGGGGACAGUGUUCUCCAGCUGUGCCCCACCAAUCGAUGCUUUUCUUCUCCAUUGUCAGUGAGAAGUACAGCACCACCCCCAUGAAUGCAACUCCAGCGUCAAGCGCAGCAGAGAGAAUGUAGUUGUACCUUGUCCACCACUUCUUCCGGUACCGGAACACAAAGAAAUUGAAGAUGGUGCCAAUGAACAGCCAUGAGUUAUAGUUCACAGGCGUUGCUGGGGGCAUGAAGGCCGUUGCACCAAGGAGUACUGGCAGAUUGAUCAAUGGUAUCCACCUCUGGUUGGGGAACAUCCUGUGGAGAGCGUAUACAAUAACUGGGCCUGCUGCGCCAAUGAGGAAAAACCAGUUGAGGACGCUGUAAUUCCCAGCUGACCCAAAGAUGCGCAUCGGACCAACAAGGCCCCAGAUCACUGAUGCAUCGAAGAACACACGGUCACCAGGGCAUGUCCAUGGGCUGUCUGGUGGGAGUGAAUCUGAGCAGAUGUCCUUGAUGGAGCCGAGCAGCCACCAUGCCGUCCCAAUGUUAACCGUGCCAGCCACGAUAGUACCAACAAACUAAGCAAAUACAGAACCUGAAGUGAUGAUGCUGAUGGGAAGGGUGAAGAUGAAUGCCAUGCCACACGCGAAGAUAAGGCCCCACCAAGGGAGCUGGACCUCACGCUUCAGUACAGUGCAGAGGAGGAGGGACACUGUAACGGAAAGCGCCAUCAGCGAGUAGAACCACCACGCAGGGAUGUCAUCAUACUUCUUCAUCAACUUUGUGUGGAUGUCAGGCUUCUCAUUCUGAGAUGCUUUGAAGCGGCGGCAGAUUUCCCUGCACAUAGAAGAGCCCGACAUGCGUUAUGGUGGCUGCAAUGGUGGCGAAGCUGAACCCAUAAGUGCGAGGAGAAGAUGGGGAAUGUCUUGGCGUUGUACAGGUUGAACCCCCAGUAUGCUAUCGGCAUGAUCAGGUAGACGAAGAACACAUAGCCAAAGAAGAUGUUGACGAUGGCGAAGAAGGGCGAGAUGAGGGGACUGAAGAGGAAGGAGGAGACCGUGGACCAGUCGAGUGUGAAGGCGCCGAGGCCAAGGCCCCUCAUGCCCGACCCCAGCUGCUGCGCCGUCACGGACUUGGAGAACACCCAGCACACCCAUGAGAUGGAUGUCAGUGCCGGGAAGAGGUAGCCUGGAACGGCGUACCAUGCGAAGCUGCACGCAAGCGCCACCACGAAGAACUUGGAGCGGGAGAUCUGGCGCGAACCUGCGGCGGCAGCAUCGUCCUUCUCGUGCAGUGCCCUGUUUCAACAUUGAGGACAUGAUCAGAGCUGUUGUUAGUAGCAUUUCUACAGCUGAAACAUGAAAAUAUGCAGCGGGUGCUGUAACUAUAGCUGGUCUUGAAUCAGACUGUAUCAUCGUGCUAACAAAUCAAUUAUGUUUCAUUUUGAGGCAACCAA